rnacentral:rRNA from 1 species
UACGGAGGGAGCAAGCGUUACUCGGAAUUAUUGGGCGUAAAGGGCGCGUAGGCGAUCUGACAAGUCUGGUGUGAAAGCCCACAUGUUAACUGUGGAAGUGCAUUAGAAACUGUUGGAUUUGAGUUCAGGAGAGGAAGGCAGAAUUCCCGGUGUAGCGGUGAAAUGCGUAGAGAUCGGAGGAAUGACCAGUCGGCGGAAGGCGAGCCUCGGUCG